rnacentral:piRNA from 1 species
UACAGUUAAGUGCUUAAAUGGAAUAAUAAA